rnacentral:rRNA from 1 species
UACGUAGGGCGCAAGCGUUGUCCGGAAUUAUUGGGCGUAAAGGAGCUUGUAGGCGGUUUGUCGCGUCUGCUGUGAAAUUUCGGGGCUCAACCCCGAACUUGCAGUGGGUACGGGCAGACUAGAGUGUGGUAGGGAGACUGGAAGUUCCUGGUGUAGCGGUGAAAUGCGCAGAUAUCAGGAGGAACACCAAUGGCGAAGGCAGGUCUCUGGGCCAUAACUGACGCUGAGAAGCGAAAGCAUGGGGAGCGAACAGG